GACGAACGCUGGCGGCGUGCUUAACACAUGCAAGUCGAACGGAAAGGCCCUGCUAUUGUGGUGUGCUCGAGUGGCGAACGGGUGAGUAACACGUGAGUAACCUGCCCUUGACUUUGGGAUAACUUCAGGAAACUGGGGCUAAUACCGGAUAGGAGCUCCUGCUGCAUAGUGGGGGUUGGAAAGUUUCGGCGGUGGGGGAUGGACUCGCGGCUUAUCAGCUUGGUGGUGGGGUAGUGGCUUACCAAGGCUUUGACGGGUAGCCGGCCUGAGAGGGUGACCGGCCACAUUGGGACUGAGAUACGGCCCAGACUCCUACGGGAGGCAGCAGUGGGGAAUAUUGCACAAUGGGCGGAAGCCUGAUGCAGCAACGCCGCGUGCGGGAUGACGGCCUUCGGGUUGGAAACCGCUUUCGCCUGUGACGAAGCGUGAGUGACGGUAAUUGGUAAAGAAGCACCGGCUAACUACGUG
rnacentral:rRNA from 1 species